CAACAAUGGCGUCUCUUGAACCACGCAUUUGGCUUCCUAAUACAGAAAACUUUUUUCGUGAAUUGGUUGAUUUAAUAAGAAAUGCUGAACAAAGUCGCACUCAUUGUGACUCGCCAGACUUUUAUUGUCGUAGAUUAGAAGAGUAUGAACGCACAUUGAGUGUUUUAACAACAAGAAUCACCGAAUCAUACACAACGGAGCAGUUUUUAAUCAACAAUCUACAUAUACUAUGUAUUUUAUAUUUAAAUAGUUUACGAAAUGAAUUCGACGUUAUUGUUGAAAAUUAUGAACGGACCUCUGAGCGCUUUUCACUAGAAGAGUCUUACGAUCGUGCGGUUUGUACGGCGGAAAGAAACGGGCUCGUUGGUAGGCCAAGAAUACAAGUCACAGUCAGAAGAGCAGUUAACCACAUUGCUUUUUAAGUUUAGAUAUAGGUAAUGAGAACCAUAUUGGUGUCCUAGUAAUAAAUUUAUGCCACAAUAGUCCCUAAAUGUUAGAUAAAAAUGUAGUGUGAAAUAUGAUAGUGUGAUGGCCUCGUGUUGUUGGCACAAUUUAUGCUUGUGAAAAUGUUGUAUUUGAUAAGCCUGAGAAUAAAAAAUAAAAACCACUUGUAUAUGUAUAAAUGUGAACCUAAGAAAUAUAAGUGUAGGUGUAGACUUUUGGAACUCAUAAAAUAUUAAAAUUGGAGAUGCGUGUGUGAAAUUGUAUCGGUCAAAUAUCCUGUGGUGUAAAAAAAUUUGAUCAUACUUGAAUCAAGGAGUAGAUCUCGCUGUACUAAAAAGCUUGUA